rnacentral:rRNA from 1 species
UACGAGUGCCUCGAGCGUUAUCCGGAAUCAUUGGGCGUAAAGGGUGCGUAGGUUGUCAUAUUAGUCUCUUGUUAAAACUUUCGGCUUAACCGAAAAUCUGCGAGAGAAACGGUAUGACUUGAGGAUGGAAGAGGUUUGCGGAACUCAUGGUGUAGGGGUGAAAUGCGUAGAGAUCAUGAGGAAGACCAGUGGCGAAGGCGGCUCACUGGCCCGAUACUGACGCUGAGGUGCGAAAGCGUGGGGAGCAAACAGG